rnacentral:rRNA from 1 species
CGGGUGAGUAAUGUAUGGGGAUCUGCCUGAUGGCGGGGGAUAACUACUGGAAACGGUAGCUAAUACCGCAUAAUGUCUGCGGACCAAAGCGGGGGACCUCCGGGCCUCGCGCCAUCAGAUGAACCCAUAUGGGAUUAGCUUGUAGGUAAGGUAACGGCUUACCUAGGUGACGAUCCCUAGCUGGUCUGAGAGGAUGAUCAGCCACACUGGGACUGAGACACGGCCCAG